GCUCGAUCUUAUCUACUUUUUACUGAAUAAUAUCUGAUCUUAAUAGCCUUAUCUCAUCGACUUCAUCCCAACAUACAGCGGUCACUGCAUCAAUUUAUAGAAACAGUGAUAGAUUUUUACCAGCAUAUAUUAAAAAUGCCGCUAAUGUAAACUUUCUCCAGUAUUUUGUAAUUUUUUUACAAAGCUGAUGUCUAAUAUACAGUAGAGAUAUAUAGUAAGUACUUAUUUGUUAC
rnacentral:lncRNA from 1 species